GCAUUCCUACGGGGCGCAGCAGUGGGGAAUAUUGCACAAUGGGGGAAACCCUGAUGCAGCGACGCCGCGUGGGUGACGAAGUAUUUCGGUAUGUAAACUUCUAUCAGCAGGGAAGAAAAUGACGGUACCUGACUAAGAAGCCCCGGCUAACUACGUGCCAGCAGCCGCGGUAAUACGUAGGGGGCAAGCGUUAUCCGGAUUUACUGGGUGUAAAGGGAGCGUAGACGGCAUGGCAAGUCUGAUGUGAAAACCCGGGGCUCAACCCCGGGACUGCAUUGGAAACUGUCAGGCUAGAGUGUCGGAGA
rnacentral:rRNA from 1 species